rnacentral:rRNA from 1 species
GACGAACGCUGGCGGCGUGCCUAAUACAUGCAAGUUGAGCGCUGAAGGUUGGUAUUUGUACCAACUGGAUGAGCAGCGAACGGGUGAGUAACGCGUGGGGAAUCUGCCUUUGAGCGGGGGACAACAUUUGGAAACGAAUGCUAAUACCGCAUAAAAACUUUAAACACAAGUUUUAAGUUUGAAAGAUGCAAUUGCAUCACUCAAAGAUGAUCCCGCGUUGUAUUAGCUAGUUGGUGAGGUAAAGGCUCACCAAGGCGAUGAUACAUAGCCGACCUGAGAGGGUGAUCGGCCACAUUGGGACUGAGACACGGCCCAAACUCCUACGGGAGGCAGCAGUAGGGAAUCUUCGGCAAUGGACGAAAGUCUGACCGAGCAACGCCGCGUGAGUGAAGAAGGUUGUCGGAUCGUAAAACUCUGUUGGUAGAGAAGAACGUUGGUGAGAGUGGAAAGCUCAUCAAGUGACGGUAACUACCCAGAAAGGGACGGCUAACUACGUG